AAAAAUCGCAAUCUAGCUAUCCGAUCAAUCACAACCUCUUAUGUGUGUGACCCCAUAGGUUCUAUUCUAUCUAGUAGUGAGAUAUAUUUUGAUCACUAUCAACAAUAUCACUGAAACUCCUUUCAGUGGAUCAGAACAAUUCCAAGUCAACCCAAUGAAAAUUAUCGAUCAUCUAGAUAAUUCUCAUGAGUCCCACAAUCUACCAGUGACGCCUAGCAGCAUGUAGUGGCAUUCCAGUAGAAUGAAAUAUU
rnacentral:lncRNA from 1 species